UACGGAGGUGGCAAGCGUUGCUCGGAAUCACUGGGCGUAAAGGGCGCGUAGGCGGGGAGGUAAGUCGGGUGUGAAAUCCCUCGGCCCAACCGAGGAACUGCGCCCGAGACUGCUUCUCUUGAGUCCCGGAGAGGAAGGUGGAAUUCCCGGUGUAGCGGUGAAAUGUGUAGAGAUCGGGAGGAACACCGGUGGCGAAGGCGGCCUGCUGGACGGUGACUGACGCUGAGGAGCGAAAGCGUGGGGAGCGAACAGG
rnacentral:rRNA from 1 species